rnacentral:rRNA from 1 species
CCCUUAGACGUUCUGGGCCGCACGCGCGCUACACUGACGAAGGCAACGAGCUUUCCUUUACCGAAAGGUACGGGUAAUCUUUUGAAACUUCGUCGUGCUGGGGAUAGAUCCUUGCAAUUUUUGAUCUUAAACGAGGAAUUCCCAGUAAGCGCAAGUCAUCAACUUGCGUUGAUUACGUCCCUGCCCUUUGUACACACCGCCCGUCGCUACUACCGAUUGAAUGGUUUAGUGAGGCCUUCGGAUCCGCGACUCGUUUUGUGGAGAAGUUGGACAAACUCAGUCAUUUAGAGGAAGUAAAAGUCGUAACA